ACAUUGAUUUUUAACAAAUUUAUUAGCACUUUUUGUUGCACAUGCAUCUACGGCGGAAGCCACGACAUUUGCCUCCAGUGAACUGCUCCCUUUUGCAGGUGUUUUUACAGUUAGUGGAUGAAAAGCACAACCCCUUGAACUUGCCGCUCGCAGCCUCGCAGGUCCUUUCCUGAACUUCCUUGCUUGACUUACUCCUUGCCUCAACACCCAAUGGCCCCAUCUCUGUCAAAUCCCAUUACAUUAAAUAUAAAGAUCAAAUUUUUUUUGGUCGAAUAAGAUGCGUUAUUGAAAACAUCAUAAGAAAUUAAUUACUUAAAAGUGGUAUAAUUACCGGUAGCGGCUAAAAUCAGGACAAGAACGAAGGCAGCUGAAACAAGACGCGUGGAACGCUCCAUUUGAAUGUGUGUUUAUGUGAGUGUGUGCUUGAUCUGUGUGUUUGUAUGUGCGUGCUUGUGUAUGAUAAGAGGUCUUAGACGCUAAUGCAAAGAACAAUAACCAUGCAAGGCUUAUUAUACAGGGGAUCUAGGGCAGAUUAAAGAGGAUUGGUCUCCAUAAAAAGAGGUAACUCCAUACCCAAAAUAAAAAGUUGAAAUUUUCAGCUUAAUUGGCACCCUAAACCAAAUUUCUAUUUUUGUUGACUAAGUUCUCCGCCCUAUAUUUUUCUAUGCACAUUUAACUUUUGUUUUAAAAGAAUGUAUGGGUAUUAAGAAUAUGUGAGUCUGGAGAAGGUUAGAUAUGUGCAUGUGCCAUGCAUAGUAAUAUUAUUGAUGUUAUCGGGCCAUGCCUUCAAAUAAACGAGGAAAGAGAAAGAAAGAGAAACAACAGGACCAUGCAUGCAUAUUUCUGCGCUCAACUGAAAUGUCUUUCUCUGUCCGUUCUUCCCACACGAACGAUGACAAUAUUCCUUUAUUUCAUAUAAUUUUCCACUUACAUAUUGUAAUUCAUAAUCCUUUAUUCAAUACAUGAAAACACAUGAAUUGGAUUGAUUGGGGCUAGUUGAUAAUCUCAUACACAUUCUAUCUUUUCUCAAAUUUUUGAAUUCUCCGAUAUUCAAACACACAUACCUCAUCAUAUUGUUGAAUAAGAGCUUAUUUAAAAGUACUUUUAAAAUAAUUGAAACGCUUUUGGUGAAAUUAAUUUUGAGUUCUUAAAGCAAGUGUUUUUUGAACGAAGCACCAAAUAUAUGUUUCUUGCAGGAAACAUUUAAAUGCUUUUUAAGGAUCUAUUUGGAUUUUUACUAUGGAUUGGUUUCAAAAGCAUUUUCAUCAAAAUCACUUUUAGUUAUUCUAAAAGUAUUUCCAAACGAACCCUCUACUUAGUGCCAAUAGGAUGAUUAAUUUUGUGUAUCUGACAAAGGAAAAAAAAAACAUCUAUAAGCACAACACAAGAAUGUUAAGAAACAAAAGGAGCAGUAAUGAAAGAAACCCUGUCGAAACAGGGUGAUUUAGUUAAUUAGCAAGAGUGGCCACUAUAUAGAAGGCUUAAUAAAUCUAUCUCAAUACACACAAGCACAGUCCAAAGUCCACAGACUCAUCUCUCGCGCACAGAUUCCAAACUACUAUAUAACAAAGUUAGCAUUGUUUGGCGCACAUGCAUCUACGGCGGAAGCCAUGGCAUUGUCCUCCAUUGAAGCCCUCUGACUUGCAGGUGUUUACGCAGUUGCUUGUGAAAAAGCACACUGCCUUGAACUUGCUGCUCUGAGACUCGCACGUCCUUCUCUUAGAAAGAUUUUUCAGUGUGACCGUCACAUAAAACGGUACACCACGUGUCUUUAUGUAAAUGAUUGGAUAUGUGUGUUAAAAGGUUAAUAACUUAAAAAUUAAAAUUUUUCACCACUUACAUAAAAACACACGGUGUACCAUCCGUAUUCCCAUCACAACUAAAAAAUUUCCCUUCUCUCGACAGCCAUUGGUCCCAUCUCUACCAAAUUCAAACUCAUUAAAACGACAUCAAUCUUUAGCUUAAAAUCAUAUUAAUUAAGAAAAGAGACAUGUUUAAGACUGCUUAUGGAAGGCUUAAAGUGUUUUCACGACAAAAAUGCUUCUAAUUAUAAUUACGUAUGACAGAAAUUAAAAAAACACUUUUGAGUCGUGGAGGCAUGGACGGAGUCAGAAACACUUUUUUAGUGGAGACAACUUUUAAAGAUUAAAUUAAAUUGAAAAUUCAAUACAAUGUAUCUACUUUUAUCCAACUACAUGAUUUUGGACUGGUGUUUAGAACGCUAAAAUUGCCAACCAUUAGCUUACAUGACUAGGAAGGGUGAGAGGAUAGGAAGUAUAUAACGUAAGAGGACAAUUUAUAUUUUUAGUUGGAGCAAUUUUCCAUCAUAAAAAGAGUUGAGUGGUGGCAACUGCCCCCAGUGGGCAUAUGCUGCCUAGUGCCUCCGUCCAUGCGUGGAAGUACUUCAUGUUCAAUAAAUAUUUGUACAUAUUUAUAAUAUUAAUUAUAAAAGGCAAAAGGGUUUAUAAGCAUAAUUGCUUCUUUCAUACCAAUAGUAGCCAAAAACAAGACAUGGACGAAGGCGACUGGAACAAGACGCAUUGAGGACUUCCUGUUAGAUCUAUGCGUGUGUGCUUGUGUAUGAAUUAGAGAUCAGAUUUUGCUGAUACAGACAACUAUAACCAUGCAUAGCUUAUUAUUAUGGGAGUUUUAACGAAAAGCCUAUGGUACUGUUCAUUUUAACGAAAAACCACAUUUUUACACUAAAAAGUCAAACAUGGUACUAUUCACUUUACCCUUUAUUUUGUCCUUAUCAUUAAAACUCAAAGUUUUCAAGUCAUUUUCAUUAGUUUUCCUUAUUAUAUAUGGAAAGAAGAUCCAUUUCCGAAAACGGAUCUCAGCUCCAUACCCAAAAUAAGCAGUUGAAAAAUUCCAGCUUAAAAGGCACCACAAACCAAAUUCCUAUUUUUGUUAACUAAGUUUUGGCUUCAUAAUUUAGAUUACUGUAACCUAAUUACAAUUUUCAUAUACAUAACAACUUUUUAACAAGUUUACAGUUAAGAUUUCAAACUUAGGGUUGGUUAAAAACUUAGGAUCAUAAUAUUGAUAAAUAUAAGUUCUUACAAAUGCAUACUAUAGCAAUACCACACAUACCAUGUAGAGAAUAUGUAGAGAAGUGGGAGCAAAAUGUGUUAGUGUUUUAAAAAUAGGUAAGAAUAAUGAAAACACUACACAAGACAUAAAAUUAAUGAUCCAUGCAGGGUCAUUCAAUUUAUUAGCAAAAGCUACCCUGUGGAUACAGAGUCAUUUCAAUCCAUCUCAUUACACAAACACAAUCCCAACAAAUAUUACAUUUUUUUUAACAAAUUAAUUAGCACUUUUUGUUGCACAUGCAUCUACGACGAAAGCCCUGGCAUUGGCCUCCGGUGAAUUUCUCCACUUUGCAAGUGUUUUUACAGUUGGUAGACGAAAAGCACAACCCCUUGAACUUGCCGCUCGCAGCCUCACAUGUCCUUUCCUUAGCUACCUUGUCUGACUUACUCCUUGCCUCAACACCCAUUGGUCCCAUCUCUGUAAAAUCAAAUUACAUUAAAUAUAAAAAUCAGCUUUUUGUCAAAUAAGAUGUUUUAUUCAAAACAUCAUAAGAAGUUAAUUAUUAAAAAGAGGUAUAAUUACCGGUAGCAGCGAAAAGCAGGACAAGAACGAAGGCAGCUGAAACAAGACGCAUAGAAUGCUCCAUUUGAAUAUAUGUUUCUUUGGUGUGUGAUAUGUGUGUUUGUGUGUGUGUGCUUGUGUAUGAUAAGAGAGAUCUCAAUCGCUAAUGCAAAGAACAAUAACCAUGGAAGACUUAUUAUAUAGGGGAUAUAUGGCAGAUUAAAGAGGAUUGAUCUCCGUAAAGAAAGGUAGCUCCACGCCCAAAAUAAAAGGUUGAAAUAUUCAGCUUAAUUGGCACCAUAAACCAAAUUCCUAUUUUUAUUGACUAAGUUCUCCAAACUACAAUUUUCUAUGCACAUUAGGUUCUCUUUUUCAAGCACAUUUAACAUUUCCUUUAAAAUAAUAUUUGGGUUAUAAGCACAUUUGGCUUAUUAUUCAGAUUUUUAUAUGUAAACGAAGCGCCAUAUAUAUCUCAUCGGAAAGACCAUAGUUCUUAUAACGAUAUAAUUUUUUUUUUAAAUUUUUUUGUUUGUUUAUACCAUAAUAAUUUAAAUUAUAUAGAUAAGGAUUUGAACAUUAGGUAUAGAGAAGAUUAUUACGUUACAUUAGCUAACUUGGCUAAGCCUAGUAAAAUGAAUUUAAAAGUAGAAUAGUGGAGGAAAUAAUGAUUAAUUAUAUUUCAAACAUAGGACAUUACAAAGACUUAAAUUUGUUGACAAAUAAAGAAGUUACAUAUAGCAUGUCAUAUUGUAUAAAAUAAUUCAUGACGGUGCUACUUAACAAACAAGAACAUUAGAAACCAUAACAACGAUACAAUAUUAACAAUCCAACUAUGACUUGGGUCAUUUAUUUAUUCCGGCUAGCUCCACACUAGUACCAAAGUACAUAUGUCCAUGAACACACUGUUAAUUAAGUGAUUAGUGAUCAGCUUAUCAAUAGCUUAAUUAAUUAGCUAAUUAACAAUGUCCAGUGCAAAAGCAUAUACGGCGUAAUUAAGCCACGACAGUGGCCUCUGGGGUGUAAGAAGGAUGAAGUUCAAAAGUGUGAUCCAAAUGAAGAGACUAUCAAUGGUUAAAAUAAAAGCCAUGUCAAAAGAUUAAAUCAGCUAAAAUACAUUUAGUUAGUUAGUUGGAAUCUGGAGAGGUUAGAUAACUUGGUUAGAAGAAGUUAGUUGAGAUAAGGAGGUUAUGAAUUACUUGCUUCACAAGUCUUGUAGCUGAACACAUAUAUAAGUGAGCGUUGUAAAUCAUACGGUAUUAAGAAAGAAAGCUUUUAUCUGAUAUACAUCUCUAUCUCUUUUUCUCUCUCUGUUCAACCUUUUCUAUUUCUCUCUGUGAAACUAUCUUAACAUGGUAUCAGAGCCGGACGAUCCGGUGCUUCCGCUUCCUACACAUUUUCUUCUCUUCUCUACCCUCUAGUUUGCAUCUUUCUGUGAUAUUUGGCGUUGGAAACAUACCAGUCGCUUCGAAGGUUGGUUUCUUCUCGUUUGCCCACCAACUGUUUGAUCAAAAGUCUCAAUCAAAGUUCGUCACGCAAAUCUGCAAAAUGGUCACUGCUGCUCAAUUGCAAAUUGUUCAGUUUCCUAUUACUGGUCUUCUCUCCACCGUCUCCACUUCUGUUACAGUAAAACUCGAUGAUUCAAACUAUCUUACAUGGAGCUUUCAAGUUCGAUUGCUUCUGGAAAGUCAUGGCAUUAUGGGGUUUAUCGAUGGUUCACGAAAGUGUCCACCAAGAUUCAAUGAAGAUUCUAACACUGAAGGGAUUGAAACUGAUGACUAUUUAGUCUGGAAAAUGCACGAUCGUGCACUAAUGCAAUUGCUCAUAGCCACAUUAUCAACGACUGCCAUUUCAUGCAUCAUUGGGUGCCAGAGUUCUGCAUAAAUGUGGUUGAAUCUUACUGAGCAUUUUUCUGCGGUGACAAAAGCUACAAUCUUUCAGAUGAAGACAGAGCUUCAGAAUAUCAAGAAAGGGUCUGAAUUCGUUUCUGUUUAUCUUCAAAAGAUUAAGGAUGCAAGGGAUUAUCUUGCUGCAGCUGGAGUAUUAUUUGAUGAUGAAGAUAUCAUUAUUCUUGCAUUGAAAGGAUUACCUUCAGAUUUCAACACGUUCCGAUGUGUGAUCAGAGGACGGGAAAAUGGAAUAUCUCUCAAAGAUUUCAGGUCUCAACUUUUGGCAGAAGAAGCAAUCAUCAAUCAAUCGUUUGACAGUUCUCCUGGUUUGUCCUUUGGUAGUACUAUGGAGGACCAAGUUCUGCCAGUCAUAGUCAAGGGUCUACUCACGGUAGUGGAUCGUAUAACACUUUCAAUGGUGGUUAUCACACUUAUGGUAAAGGGAGUUCUUUCAGAGGCAGAGGGAAAGGCCGUCUUCAGUACAAUUCAACUCCAAGAUUUUCUAAUGGUAAUCCCGGUAUUCUUGGUACUCCAAAACCAUACCAGUCCUACUGUCCGGAUCACCCAUCAGAAAUCCCCACCUGUCAAAUAUGCAACAAAAAGGGUCAUGUUGCUGCAGAUUGCUUCCAAAGACAUAACACCACCGCCUCAAACUCUCCUAUUCAAUGCCAGAUAUGUUGGAAAUAUGGACACUCAGCCCUUCAAUGCUACCACAUGAGUAAUUUUGCCUAUCAAGGGCGGCCCCCAACUCCUAAUCUCACAGCUAUGCAUGCAAAUCAUCAACCUUCAGCACCAACUUAGCAAUUUUGGAUUGCAGAUACUAGGGCUACAUCACACAUGACCUCUGAAUUGGCAAACCUGGAUCUAUCUACUCCAUAUCAAGGGUCCGAUACAAUUACUACUGCUAGUGGUGCAGGUUUGCAUAUUUCAAAUAUUGGCACUUCUACAUUGGUUGCCCCACAUCAUUCUCUCACUCUUAAGAAUGUUUUACAUGUUCCAAAGCUUUCCCAGCAUUUGUUAUCAAUUUAUCAACUAUGCAAGGACAAUAAGUGUCGAUUCAUUUGUGAUGAUGUUUCUUUUUGGGUUCAGGACAAAUCCACAGGGAAAAUACUCAUCCAGGGGCUGUGUAAAGCUGGUUACUAUCUUAUACCUUUCAUCUCAUCCCACAAGCAGUCAUCCUCAUCAUCUGCAUCUCAUUCAUGUUUCCUUGCAAAACCGGUUCAUUCAAGUAUAUGGCACAAAAGGCUAGGGCACACAUCCAACGCAAUUACUUCUGCAAUCCUUCAUCAAUCUCAAGUUUCUGCAUCAUUAGAUACAUGUUCAUCACCUUGUACACCAUGUUUAGAGGGCAAAUUUACCAAAUUACCUUUUCGUAUUCCUGUUUCUAAAUCUGUACACCCUUUAGAGAAAAUCCACAGUGAUGUAUGGGGCCCUGCUCAUUUGCUAUCUUAUGAAGGAUUUAGAUAUUAUGUAACCUUCAUAGAUGAUUGUACUCGUUAUACAUGGAUUUUUCCAUUACGAAAUAAAACAGAAGUCUUUGCAACCUUUGUUCAGUUUCAUGCUUAUUUGAGUACCCAAUUUUCUGCUGUAGUCAAAAUAUUCCAAAGUGAUGGUGGUGGUGAAUAUACAAGUAAUAAGUUUCAACAGUUUUUGGCACAACAUGGCAUUUUACAUCACAAAUCAUGUCCUUAUACACCUGAAUAGAAUGGUUUAGCAGAACGAAAACAUAGGCACAUUGUCGAAAUUGCAAUCACCUUUAUUCAAACUGCAAAACUGCCUAACCAAUUUUGGGUUCAUGCUUGUGCUACUGCUUCUUAUCUGAUCAAUCGAAUGCCAUGUGCUUUAUUACAUAUGAAAUCCCCUUUUCAAAUGCUAUAUCACACUGUUCCUGACAUUAAACAUCUCCGAGUCUUUGGUUGUGCGUGUUUUCCUCUGCUAAAACCAUACAAUACCUCUAAAUUUCAGCCUAAAACAGCCACUUGUGUGUUUUUGGGAUAUGCUAGUCAAUACAAGGGCUACAUAUGUCUUGAUUUUAUUACGGGCAAAUUAUAUGUCUCUAGACAUGUGUUGUUUGAUGAAGCUAGUUUUCCAUACUCAAAUCCCAUAUUUUCUUCUUCUUUUCAAAUGUUUCCUGCAUCAUCUCAGUUACAUUCAUCACAAAGUCCAGUGCAUCCACCAUAGUUCACACCAAUCAUUACAUUAUCAAAUCAAGUAUCAUCACCCUCAUCUCAUUCAUUAUCAUCUCCGACCACAGAAUCUUUGCCUAUGCAUUCAUCUAGUGCUUCAGAAUCUCUUUCUGCAUCUCGAGCCUCAAAAUCAUUGGAUACAGUUGCAUCUCGAGCCUCAGAGUCCAUUUCUUUACCUUCCCAUGAACACACUGCAGUACAUGCACCCAGGGACUUAUCACCAAAUCCCAUGCCCUUCUCUAGUGUUGGUACAUAGCACCCUAUCCAUGUGGAUCCUGAUUUUCACCCUGAGAGUCUAAGUGUGGUUUUACCUAUACCACUGAAUGUUCAACCUAUGCAGACAAGGUCGAAGAAUGGGAUGUUCAAACCGAAAGUGUUUUUAGCCACAGUUACUUCUGAACCUAAAACAUUUAAAAGUGCAACACUGAUUCCUGAAUGGCAUCAUGCAAUGAAAGAGGAAAUAUCAGCUCUUCAUUCUCAAAAGACUUGGACUUUGGUACCCUUACCACCUGCUAAGAAUUUAGUCGGGUGUAAAUGGAUUUACAAAAUCAAGAAACAUGCAGAUGGCUCCGUGGCAAGGUAUAAGGCACGGCUUGUAGCACAGGGAUAUAGUCAAGAAGAGGGAGUUGAUUACUUAGAGACUUUUAGUCCGGUAGUGAAACCUACAACUAUACGACUGAUAUUUGCCUUAGCUGCUCAAUUCAAGUGGACUCUUUGGCAGUUAGAUGUUAAAAAUGCCUUUCUCCAUGGCAUCCUUUAAGAGGAAGUGUAUAUGGUGCAGCCUCCGGGGUUUGAAAGUACAUCACAUCCCUCAGACUAUGUUUGCAAACUUCACAAAUCAUUAUAUGGCCUAAAGCAGGCUCCUCGAGCCUGGAAUGAGCGAUUUACCAGUUUCUUACCCAGUUUGGGAUUUCAGGUAUCCUCGGCUGAUCCGUCUUUGUUUGUACAACAGUCUACAAAGGGCACUCAACUAAAAUACAUAUAGUUAGUUAGUUGGAAUCUGGAGAGGUUAGAUAACUUGGUUAGAAGAAGUUAGUUGAGAUAAGGAGGUUAUGAAUUACUUGCUUCACAAGUCUUGUAGCUGAACACAUAUAUAAGUGAGCGUUGUAAAUCAUAUGGUAUUAAGAAAGAAAGCUUUUAUCUGAUAUACAUCUCUAUCUCUUUUCUCUCUGUUCAACCUUUUCUAUUUCUCUCUGUGAAACUAUCUUAACAUGGGGAAGCCCUCAGUUUGGCAAACAACAACAUAAUUACUUUUUCUCACGUAGGUUCCCAUGAAGCGAUUAGUUUGAGACUCCAUGUCCUACCCUCAACAACCAUCGUCCGUUUAAACAAUUAUCAAAACAAAAUAUGGUAAAUAUGAAUGCUUAAAAUCGUAAUAAUAUAUGUUAACAAUGAAAUUGAGUAACAAUAUUGAGGAAGAAGAAGUAUUACUGGUGGCCACCAAAAGCAACAGGAAGACGCAGGUAGUUGGGAGAAAACGCAUGGACCGUUUUCUAUGUAUCUGUAACAAGUUUGUAGUUAAGAUUUCAAACUUAGGGUAACUCAGAAUGAUAUUAUUGAUAUAUAUAGGUUCUUAUAAAUUCAUAAUAUAGGAAUACCCAAGGAUGAAACCAAAGAUCUAUAUGGACAUGGGCAUCCUAUAAAACAAAAUCAUACAUAUUAAAAAGCUCAAGAAUUUACUAACAAAACACAUAUAUUAACCCAUAAAAUUUUUCGUAUAACAUAUUACAAUAUCACACGACGCAUUUUCAAGUUUUGAAAGUAUUGCAUGACAAUUUCAUUACCAAUACCAUCAAAUAUCUCUUCUUCUUUUUUAAAUAUCCAUGUUAUUAUUCAUCCAUAAUUUCCUUCUGAUUUUUGAAUUGAUUAUUUGAAAAUUUCAUAGCUUAAAAUGCUCUAUCACGUAAAAUUACUAUAUGUACAAUUUUUUUCACAAAAAAAACUGAGUUGGGGCAUCCGCCUCUUGGGCCCAAGGUGGCUCCGUCCUUAGCAAUACCACACAUGCUAUGUAGAGAAGUGAGAGAAAAAUAUGAAAGUGUUUUUUUUUUUCAAAAAAAAUGUGGAAGAGUCUUUUGAAAUGUCAUCAAGAAAACAUUAUCUUAAAAGACCAUUUCUUCUAAAAUAAAGUAAAAAACAAUUAAUUAAGUCCUUGCUUAAAAGUUGCUUAAGCAACUUCGAACCUUUACUAAUUUUUUUCUGGUGCAUCAACCUCACCUUGUCUUACAUAUGCUGUUACCGGUUUAAAAGUCAAAAGAAUAUAAUACAACCGAAGGUGUGGAUAAAAAAGUACAUUUGAAAUUGACAAUGUGACUUAACAAUUUUUGAGAUACAAAUUAAAGUAAUGUGUUGAAUCCAAGUACACUAAGUGAAAUAUUUUCAACAAUGCCUUGUCAAAAUGGCAAAAAAGUUUCGUUAUUAGCAUUUGACGAUAAUUAUCAUGCACUCUUUCUUAAUGGAAAGACAGUAAACAAAAGAAGAGUAUGUGGUGAUUAUCUGGAAUGUUAGCAAUAACCCUGAAGAAAAAUAUGAUAAUAGGCGAUUAAAAAUGCAUAAGGUGCGGUGAAAAUACUAAACAAUACAUAAAAAUAAUGAUCCUUGGAGGGUCAUUCAAUUUAUUAGCAAAAGCAAGCCUGUGGAUACAUGGUCAUAUCAAUCAAUUUCAUUACACAAGCACAAUCUCCACACAAAUUACAGUUCUAUUUAUACCAAAUCAAUUAGCACUUUUUAUUGCAUAUGCAUCUACGACGGAAGCCAUGACAUUCGCCUCCAAUAAAUUUUUCCGUUUUGCAGGUGUUUUUACAGUUGGUAGACGAAAAGCACAUCCCCUUGAACUUGCCGCUUGUAGCCUCGCAUGUCCUUUCCUUAACUGCCUUGCCUGACUUGCUCCUUGCCUCAACACCCAUUG
rnacentral:lncRNA from 1 species